GUUUAUCCAAUCGAUAAAAGAAAUUCAUCGACAAAAUCUGCAGAAAAAAGAGAGAGAGAGAAAAACGAAAAAAGGGAAUCGCCAAACCAAAACGGUCCAUGGUGAUUAUUACGAUAACAACAACCACGUUGCUUUUAUUUCAUUGUUUGAUUUGAAAAUUUGAAUUAUUUUUUUUCUCAUUAUUAUUUUGGGGGAGAUUGUUGAGGAUUUUCUUAGGGUUUUUAAUUUGAAGAAGGAUGACGGAGGUGGUCCUCCACAUAUAUGAUGUGACGAAUAGUGGCUCCGAUAAGACCAACAACACCAUUGUUCAGAUCAACAAGUUUUUCAAAGACGGUAUCGGUCUUGGUGGAAUCUUUCAUAGUGCCGUUCAGGUUUAUGGAGAUGACGAGUGGUCAUUCGGAUUCUGUGAACAAGGUACUGGAGUUUUUAGCUGUCCUGCUGGAAAAAAUCCAAUGUAUUCGUACCGUGAAUGCAUUGUACUUGGAAACACAAAUCACUCUAUUUUCAAAGUGAACCAGAUAUUGAGAGAGCUUAGUAGAGAGUGGCCUGGACACUCAUAUGAUUUAUUGUCAAAGAAUUGCAAUCACUUCUGUGAUGAAUUAUGUGAAAGACUUGGUGUUCAAAAGCUUCCUGGUUGGGUUAACAGGUUUGCUCAUGCUGGUGAUGCUGCCGUUGAGAUAGCAGGAACUACUGCUUUUAGGCUGAGGCAAGCUAAAACAGAGAUCGUUACAGCCAGUAAAGUGGCAUAUAGGUUCUUCGCAGGAGUUGCUUCUAACAAUUCAGCUUCCCCCGACUCUCCUGGCAACUCUGGUCGGGGAACUCCUAGGUUUCAAGCGAAUUGGUUCAAAAAUUUUAUCACCACUGGUGCCAAACCAUCUGGUUCAGAUAGUGAAGAGGUGCUAGGACAUCAGCAGCAGCAUGGAACAGAGACCCCUCUGAGGCAGAACUAGCGUCAGGAAAGCUAAAAAAAUUCCACUCAUCCGUCUUGUUUCCGAGUAUAGUUCAUGUUGUAGUCAGACACGAGGAAAUAUCGUGUCCUGCAAUGACUCCUGUUAUUGUCUAGAAAAUGCCAAGCUGAUUGAUCCUGAUUUGUUGUGGAAUAUGUAAAUCAUUUUGUUUUUCUGGUGCUGCUUAAAUGUUGCAAUUUGUUAUGGGAUUAUGUAAAUUGCUCUGCUCUUUUGGUUACGCUGAUUAGUGCUUAGAGAACUACAUAUGCACAAA
rnacentral:misc_RNA from 1 species